CAGGCUUAACACAUGCAAGUCGAGGGGCAGCAUGGUCUUAGCUUGCUAAGGCCGAUGGCGACCGGCGCACGGGUGAGUAACACGUAUCCAACCUGCCGUCUACUCUUGGACAGCCUUCUGAAAGGAAGAUUAAUACAAGAUGGCAUCAUGAGUCCGCAUGUUCACAUGAUUAAAGGUAUUCCGGUAGACGAUGGGGAUGCGUUCCAUUAGAUAGUAGGCGGGGUAACGGCCCACCUAGUCUUCGAUGGAUAGGGGUUCUGAGAGGAAGGUCCCCCACAUUGGAACUGAGACACGGUCCAAACUCCUACGGGAGGCAGCAGUGAGGAAUAUUGGUCAAUGGGCGCAGGCCUGAACCAGCCAAGUAGCAUGAAGGAUGACUGCCCUAUGGGUUGUAAACUUCUUUUAUACGGGAAUAAAGUGAGGCACGUGUGCCUUUUUGUAUGUACCGUAUGAAUAAGGAUCGGCUAACUCCGUGCCAGCAGCCGCGGUAAUACGGAGGAUCCGAGCGUUAUCCGGAUUUAUUGGGUUUAAAGGGAGCGUAGGCGGACGCUUAAGUCAGUUGUGAAAGUUUGCGGCUCAACCGUAAAAUUGCAGUUGAUACUGGGUGUCUUGAGUACAGUAGAGGCAGGCGGAAUUCGUGGUGUAGCGGUGAAAUGCUUAGAUAUCACGAAGAACUCCGAUUGCGAAGGCAGCUUGCUGGACUGUAACUGACGCUGAUGCUCGAAAGUGUGGGUAUCAAACAGGAUUAGAUACCCCUGGUAGUCCACACAGUAAACGAUGAAUACUCGCUGUUUGCGAUAUACAGUAAGCGGCCAAGCGAAAGCGUUAAGUAUUCCACCUGGGGAGUACGCCGGCAACGGUGAAACUCAAAGGAAUUGACAGGGGCCCGCACAAGCGGAGGAACAUGUGGUUUAAUUCGAUGAUACGCGAGGAACCUUACCCGGGCUUGAAUUGCAACUGAAUGAUGUGGAGACAUGUCAGCCGCAAGGCAGUUGUGAAGGUGCUGCAUGGUUGUCGUCAGCUCGUGCCGUGAGGUGUCGGCUUAAGUGCCAUAACGAGCGCAACCCUUAUCGAUAGUUACCAUCAGGUUAUGCUGGGGACUCUGUCGAGACUGCCGUCGUAAGAUGUGAGGAAGGUGGGGAUGACGUCAAAUCAGCACGGCCCUUACGUCCGGGGCUACACACGUGUUACAAUGGGGGGUACAGAAGGCAGCUACACGGUGACGUGAUGCUAAUCCCGAAAGCCUCUCUCAGUUCGGAUUGGAGUCUGCAACCCGACUCCAUGAAGCUGGAUUCGCUAGUAAUCGCGCAUCAGCCACGGCGCGGUGAAUACGUUCCCGGGCCUUGUACACACCGCCCGUCAAGCCAUGAAAGCCGGGGGUACCUGAAGUGCGUAACCGCAAGGAGCGCCCUAGGGUAAAACUGGUGAUUGGGGCUAAGUCGUA
rnacentral:rRNA from 1 species